GACGAACGCUGGCGGCGUGCCUAACACAUGCAAGUCGAACGGAGUGGCGCACGGGUGAGUAACCCGUGGGUGAUUUUCAUUGAACUCUGGGAUAAGCUUGGGAAACUGGGUCUAAUACCGGAUAGUGCACGAUGAGCUCGCGGGCUAUCAGCUUGUUGGUGGGGUAAUGGCCUACCACGGCGUCGACGGGUAGCCGCCCUGUGAGGGUGUACGGCCACAGUGUGACUGAGAUACGGCCCAGACUCCUACGGGAGGAAGCAGUGGGGAAUAUUGCACAAUGGGCUGAUUUUUGAUGGAGCGAGCCCGCGUGGGGUAUUACACUCUCCGCGUCGUAGACAGCGUUAGAUAUGUAUCGGUACCUGGAUAAGAAGCACCAUCUGAUGGUGUGCCAGCAGCCGCGGUAAUAC
rnacentral:rRNA from 1 species